AUGGUGGGGUAUUCAGAUUUUAUAGUUGAUAUUUUUUUUACCGAUAUGGACACCCUCUGUGCUUGGCUGACAGCACUGGCACAUGAACACACACACACACACACACACACACACACACACACACACACACACACACACACACACACACACACACACACACACACACACUCAUACACACAUGCACACACACACCCUCCCUAUGCUCUGCAUGGCAAUCACCAUGGUAACAGAAUGCACCAAACAGAACACAAUCAGGCCAGGGUAUUUUUUUGGUUGAAAGGGAUGGAAAGAACAACAGGGAUGACAAAGGGAGGAAGAGAGAAGAGGCAGGGAGAGAGAGAGAGAGAGAGAGAGAGAGAGAGAGAGAGAGAGAGAGAGAGAGAGAGAGAGAGAGAGAGAGACAGAGACAGAGAGGGGGAGACGAAGCGUGAGCAGAUUGAGAGCUACCAUGCUGUCCUGCAGUGAUGAUGUGGUGAACCUCAAGAAGCAGAAAACACAUGGGCCAUCGCCCUCCAGCUCCCUUCACUACUAUAGCAGGGGACAGAGGAAAGUGGACGUUCAAACAACACAGACAAGGUGUGGACACAACACAACCACACCUACUGACCAGUGGAGGCUGCUGAGGGGAGGACGGCUCAAAAUAAUGGCUGGAACGGAGCAUGUGGAAUGGCAUCAAACACAUGUGUUUGGUCUAUUUGAUACCAUUCCACCUAUUCUGUUCAAGCCAUUACCACAAGCCCGUCCUCCCUUAAUAAGGUGCAACCAACCUCCUGUGCUACUGACACACAAUAACCGUCAACAUACACAGCCUUGCAACACCCAACAAACCCGGGUUCGAAUCCAGUGAGUCACAAUAGCAGCCUGGGAGAAUAACACAGGAGUAAUAAUCUUUGGGGUAUCUGACUGUUCCCCAGUGAGCCUAUUUAUCACAUACUAUGCCUAGGCUUUAGCUCAGCAGGCUAGCACAGUCUUCUGGAAAACAGGACACCUGGGUUCGAACCCAGUCAGUCACAAUAGCAGUCUAGGUAAUAAUACAGGAGUAUUUACAGGUUACCCAGUCAGCCUAUAGGUCUGUCUAUUCCAUUCCAUUGACAAGCAGCCAUGCGGUU
rnacentral:lncRNA from 8 species